CAAUUGGCCUUUAAUUGGGGUCGGGUAUGAAUGGAGAUAUUUGAGUAUACCUGUCUCGAUGUUGUAUAUGAAUGAAUUUACUUAUUGGGUGAAAAUUCCCAAAUAUAUAGAAAAGACGAGAAGACCCUUAGACUUUUUCCUAAUUAUAAUCUUAUUUUGUAUUAGGAUUUGUUGGGGCGACAGAAUGUCAAUUAAACACAUUCAUAACUAGUUAUUAUAAUUAAACAAAUUAUAUUUCUUAAAAUUGAAGUACCUAAGGGAUAACAGCAUUAUUAAAUAAUUACAUUG
rnacentral:rRNA from 1 species